CCCGUUUCUAAUUUUAGACCUGCUGAGUUUAAGACGAGAGGUGACAGAUCCGUGGAACUGGCUUCCAGAAGAUGAGAGCUGCCCCUCCCCGCUUUUCAGCCUCCCAUUCUCAGGAUUCUUCCUUUUUGACAGUGAUGUUUUCCACCAGGAAUCCCGCCUGGCUUGGGGGCCGGCCAGAGAGGGGGGAGGAAGCGAGCCGCUAGCAGGGGGUGGGGAGAGGAGGAGGACUGACAGAGCAGCUGCAACUCAUCUCCGGACAGCUGCGAAAAGGAGCCCAGGUCCUGGGAAACGCGCCUGCCUCCCGCUCCCAGCUUCCUCCCGCCCGAGACCAGAGGACUCAGGCGGAAGACCACGCCAUGUCGCCAUGUCGCCAUGUCGCCACGUCCGGGUGGGGUGGAGGCCCCGCUGGGAGACGAGAACUGCUGCCAAAACUUAAAACGAUGAUGUCCUUCCCAGCCUCACUGUUGCAAAUCAGAAAGGAAGAAAAGCCCCGGGUGAAUCAUCACACGCCUCACCGCAGUGCAGAAGCAGAGGGAGCCCGAGCCCGAGCCCGCAGCUGGCGCUGCCCACCCGACGGGAGGCCGAGCUCCGACAAGGGGACAAGGGCGCGCAAUGGGAGCGGCUGCAAGUACAGGUGGAGCUUUGCUCACUCACGGCCGCUCACCUCCUGCUGUGUGGCCCGGCUCCUACCAGGCCGUGCACCAGUCCCUCUGCAGCCCAGGGGCUGGGGACCGCAGAUCUAUGGUAAUGGACUAGGGAGAACUCAGCCCCGCCUGUUUGCUCAGAUUCUCUCUGUGUCCUAGUGUCUUAGGGGUGAGGGUGCUCCUGUUCGCUGGGUAGUGGGAGGGUCUCUCUCCCAGGAGGGUCUUCCGACCCACUUCAAGGGAAGGUCAGAAAAUCCUUCCUAGGUUUAUGGCCUGCUUCAGAGGAGAACAGCAGGCUCACUCAGUGAGACUGUCCUGUACUUGCUGUUUCUCAAAUCCCUUUAGCUUAAAAUAUUUAAUUUGCCAAGCUGCCAUAUUUUGGGGUACAUGUUCUGAACUCUAUCCUAUGUAAACAUCACCCAAAAUAAGAUGUAGAAGAUAAUAUUUCCAUCAUCCAGAAAGUUCCCUUUUGCUGUUUCCCUCCAGCCCCAGGCAGCUACUUUCUCAUUUCUAUUGUUACAGGUUAGUUUUGUCUAUUUAAGAACUUUAUAUCAGUGGAAUAGUGCAGUAAAGUACUCUUUUGUGGGGGACUUCUUUUGCUUAAUGCAAUGGUUUUGCAAUUCAUCUAUGUUACAUGCAUCAAUAGUUUAUUCCUUUUUAUUGAAAAAUAGUACUGUGUUGUGUUAAUACUGUUGGUUUAUCUGUUUACCUGUUGGACAUUUGGGAUGUUUUGACUUUUUAUUAUUGUGUUUCAAGCUGCUGUGAACAUUUUUAUAAACAUCUUUAUGGACAUACAUUUUCAUUUAUCUGGAGUAACUAUAUAAAGGUGGGAUUGCUAGAUGAUAGGUAAAUACGAUUAAAGUUGCAACACACUGCCAAGCAGUUCUCCAAAGUGGCUGGCACACUCAGCAGCAGCGCACGGGAACUCCAUUGCCUCCACACACUCCCCAGCGCUUGGUUUCUGGGGAGUGUAUAAUGGAACUCAUUGUGGGGUAAAUUUGCAUUUCCCUGAUAAUUUAAAAAUGUUGAUCGCCUUUACAUACAAGUAUUGGCUAUUUGUAUAUCUUUCUUUGUGACAUGACUAUUUAAUUCUUUUCCCAAGCUUUUAUUGGGCUGUCUUUUAUUGCUGAUUCAUAUUUAUAUGUAAUGUCUGUGACAGGGUUCAGUAGAUACUGUCCCCAAAUGUGACACCUGGCAUUUGAGAAAAUGGCAGAAGCAGAAGCUGUCUCCAAUCUUCUCCUAGCAUUCUCCCCUGAAGCAGGCAUUAAAGAAAACUAUCUAGGGUGGCUCACACCUGUAAUCCUAGCACUCUGGGAGGCAGAGGCGGGAGGAUCAUUUGAGCUCAGGAG